AGAGUUUGAUCCUGGCUCAGGAUGAACGCUAGCGGCAGGCCUAAUACAUGCAAGUCGAACGGGUCGCAAGACUAGUGGCGCACGGGUGCGUAACACGUAGGUAACCUACCUUUUACUGGGGCAUAACGAUGGGAAACCAUCGCUAAUACCGCAUAAGACAGUAGCCUGGCAUCAGGCAGUUGUUAAAGAUUUAUUGGUAAAAGAUGGGCCUGCGGCUGAUUAGCUAGUUGGUGGUGUAACGGACCACCAAGGCCAUGAUCAGUAGGGGUUCUGAGAGGAAGAUCCCCCACACUGGCACUGAGAUACGGGCCAGACUCCUACGGGAGGCAGCAGUAGGGAAUAUUGGGCAAUGGCGGAAACGCUGACCCAGCCAUGCCGCGUGCAGGAAGAAGGCGCUCAGCGUUGUAAACUGCUUUUGCCAGGGAAGAAUGAGCUCUACGGGUAGAGUCAGUGACGGUACCUGGUGAAUAAGCACCGGCUAACUCCGUGCCAGCAGCCGCGGUAAUACGGAGGGUGCAAGCGUUGUCCGGAUUUAUUGGGUUUAAAGGGUGCGUAGGUGGCUUGUUAAGUCUGGGGUGAAAGGCAGUGGCUCAACCACUAGCAGGGCCCUGGAUACUGGCAGGCUCGAGUGCGCGUGAGGCCGGUGGAACGGGUGGUGUAGCGGUGAAAUGCAUAGAUACCAUCCAGAACACCGAUUGCGGAGGCAGCCGGCUAACGCGCAACUGACACUGAGGCACGAAAGCGUGGGGAGCAAACAGGAUUAGAUACCCUAGUAGUCC
rnacentral:rRNA from 1 species